rnacentral:rRNA from 1 species
GUAGCAUAAUCAUUUGUCUUUUAAUUAAAGACUUGAAUGAACGGUAGAACGAGAAAUAAGCUGUCUCUUUAAAAAAAAAUAAAAUUUUACUUUUAAGUGAAAAGGCUUAAAUAAAUUAAAAAGACGAUAAGACCCUAUAAAUCUUUAUAUUAAUAAUUUUUAUUUUUAAAUUAUAAAUAAAAAUAAAAUAAAAAUUAUAAUAUUUUAUUGGGGAGAUAUAAAUAUAAUUUUUAACUAUUUUAAUAUUAUAACAAUAAUAUUUGAUUUAUUAUUAUGAUCCUUCUUAAAGAAUAAAAAAUCAAGUUACUUUAGGGAUAACAGCGUUAUCUUUUUUAAGAGUUCUUAUCGAAAAAAAAGUUUGCGACCUCGAUGUUGAAUUAAAAAAUCCAUAUA